UUGAACGCUGGCGGCAGGCCUAACACAUGCAAGUCGAACGGUAACAGGAAGAAGCUUGCUUCUUUGCUGACGAGUGGCGGACGGGUGAGUAAUGCCUGGGAAACUGCCUGAUGGAGGGGGAUAACUACUGGAAACGGUAGCUAAUACCGCAUAACGUCGCAAGACCAAAGAGGGGGACCUUCGGGCCUCUUGCCAUCGGAUGUGCCCAGAUGGGAUUAGCUAGUAGGUGGGGUAACGGCUCACCUAGGCGACGAUCCCUAGCUGGUCUGAGAGGAUGACCAGCCACACUGGAACUGAGACACGGUCCAGACUCCUACGGGAGGCAGCAGUGGGGAAUAUUGCACAAUGGGCGCAAGCCUGAUGCAGCCAUGCCGCGUGUAUGAAGAAGGCCUUCGGGUUGUAAAGUACUUUCAGCCGGGG
rnacentral:rRNA from 1 species